CUACGGGAUGCUCCAGUGAGGAAUUUUGCGCAAUGGGGGAAACCCUGACGCAGCAACGCCGCGUGAGUGAAGAAGGCCUUUAGGUCGUAAAGCUCUGUCAACUGGGAAGAAGUUAGAAUCUAUUAAUAGUAGAUUUUAUUGACGGUACCAGUGGAGGAAGCGCCGGCUAACUCCGUGCCAGCAGCGCGCGGUAACACGGGGGGCGCAAGCGUUAUUCGGAAUUAUUGGGCGUAAAGGGCGCGCAGGCGGUCUUGUCAGUCAGGUGUGAAAGCCCGGGGCUCAACCCUGGAAGUGCACUUGAAACAGCAAGACUUGAGUACGGGAGAGGAGAGAGGAAUUCCUGGUGUAGAGGUGAAAUUCGUAGAUAUCAGGAGGAACACCGAUGGCGAAGGCAUCUCUCUGGACCGAUACUGACGCUGAGGCGCGAAGGCGUGGGUAGCGAACGGGAUUAGAUACCCUAGUAGUC
rnacentral:rRNA from 1 species